rnacentral:rRNA from 1 species
UACGUAGGGGGCAAGCGUUGUCCGGAAUUAUUGGGCGUAAAGCGCGCGCAGGCGGUUCUUUAAGUCUGGUGUCUAAGUGCGGGGCUCAACCCCGUGAUGCACUGGAAACUGGGGAACUUGAGUGCAGAAGAGGAGAGCGGAAUUCCACGUGUAGCGGUGAAAUGCGUAGAGAUGUGGAGGAACACCAGUGGCGAAGGCGGCUCACUGGACCAUAACUGACGCUGAUGCACGAAAGCUGGGGGAGCAAACAGG